UCAACCCUGCAACUUCUCAGCAGCACUCCCGUAGGCCCCCCACCACUACCACCAUCACCCCUCCACCCAUAUCCCCUCCGUCAUCCACGAAAGGAGCUGUGCGUGCCGUGCGGGGGCAGUGCCGCACACAUCCUUUACUAUCCCGUAUCUUCCUCUGCUGUCACAGCGCAGCAGCGACGACCUCAUCGCCUCACUCUUGAGACAGCCUCCGCUCGAAUCGCCUCUGCCUGUCUCUCAUUACCUGACUUCCGCCCCUCCCACCACCACCGCCCACUGCACAGGGGAAGGAUGGGGCCAGAGGUGCCGGCUUGGAUAAUCUGAGCGUACGUAGCCUUUGGCAUUCUGUUCUGCGCGCGUCUCUAGGCGUUGUGCUUUUCAACUCACCCCUUUGUCUUCUUGCAUCUCUCUCUGUUUGCGUGCGUGUCCGUGUCCUCACGCGCACCCAUCACCACGGAAGGCAGCCGGGCGCUGCAGCCGGCUCACAGCUCCACGAGUGAGACUAUGCGCCUCUCUGCUACAUCGCUAUCUAAGCUCACAUUAAUCGUUAAUAUCUUUUUUUUUUUGGUAUUUGUGGAGGGAGCACAUCCGGUUUUGCGUGUUGCUGUGGCUGUGCGCGCCAACGGCCAGCUGAGGCGCACAAGUAGAAGUGGCAUGUAAAGCCAGCACCGGCACACGUGUGCACACAAUACACACGCGCGGUGUUACUUACUCUGAAACCGAGACUACCUCUCUCGACUGCUCUCGGCGCCGAUGCCGAGUCCUCCUCACGUUAUUGCAUACUCAAUGCAGCGACGGGUGGCACCGCCGUAUCACUCCCUGCGAGGUCGUCCCAUUGGCGCAAUGGUGAUCGAUAGCUUUCCGGUGCAGCUCCGCAUGUACGUUGCCAGCUCGCCCCUCAUCGCUUCCGCCGGAGGCUGGUCUUCGUGUUUUGCCUCGGCCAGGCUCUUUACUGACGCCGCUGCAUCGCUGUCACCCGUGGUGGAUGUCUCAUCGUCCGCACCGCCGUCCCCGUUUGAAGUACAUCAAGUAAUCGCACGCGCGGCGCAGCGUGGCGAGUGGGAGCACGCCAUUCGUCUUCUCGUAGGCUCCCUGCACAGUCACUGUGUUCCUCUCGCAGAAACGUACCAGCUGAUUCUCCUGGCUGCACUGCGGGGCGGAGGAUGGCGAGCCAGCGUUCAACUCACGAAGCAAAUGGCAACUAGCACUCUCUCGACAGCAGCCCUCUACCACACGGCGGCGGACCUGCUGCUCGCCAAAUCGACAUUUAACUUGGAGACUUCGAGCACGUCCCUUGAUCGGGUAGUGCUGAAGGAGCUCGUACCACUCAUGCUGGCCGACGCCACGCAGCACGUGGUGUGGCGUCCGCGUCACCGUGAGGCGGCACUGCGAGCCCUUGGGAAGGCAGAGAAACACCAGAAGAUAUCAGCCUUGUUUCGUCGAUGGACGGCCGCUACUGCUCUUCUCGGUAGUGUUUCGCGACUCCGGUGCAGCGAGGAAGAGGCCACUCUGUUCAUGGCGGCGUUCGGCGUAACCGGAGACUGGCGCUCUGCAGAAACACUGCGGACAAGCCUUUCCCAGAUCUCCGCCCCACUUCUCGUCAGCUAUGUGCGUGCAUUCGCCGUGGCGGUGCAGCACGCUGAAACAUCAAGCCUAGCAGCGCCACAGGAGCUUGUUCCGUGGGAGAUGGCUUUAGACACUGCUGCCGCGGGCAAGCAGGAUGCGCCACUGCUGGAGGCCGUGACGGAGCUGUUGAGUGCGGCACGUCACACCGCAGCCCCCGCCGGCGGGGCUCGCUGGUGGUGGGCGGCCAGCACUUCCACACACGCGAAACUGGCAGAGCUGCGCAGGCGUGCGGCAAUCUCCGCGCGUGAGGCAGCGCAGUUGCUGGUGGAGUGCCAUGUGACGACCGCGCAGGUUAGGAGCUUGCUAGAUGCCGUGCGCGUGUCCGGUGUGCUGAGCUCAGCGGCGGCAGAGGCUUCUCCGUACUAUGAGGGAUGGGUGAAUGUGGUGCUGGUUCUGAGCCAGUACUGCCCACACGCGUUGGUGUCCGUUGACGGGUGUGCCGACGGGCUCGUGCAGCUGCUGCCGCAUCCCCACCUGCAAAUCCGGCGGCAGCGGGGCGGUGCAACACCGCAUACCCUCGCUUUAUGGCGGCACGUGGCGCAGAGUGCCGCAGGCGGAGAUGUCGCGAAGCCUGCCAGUGUAGCGUGGUACGUUGUCUAUACGUCAUCCGCGUUGCAUUAUCUGCGUCACGCUGCCCUGCAGCCGGCGCAGCUGGCGAAGGCUGAGGGUACACUGAGUGCCGCGUUGGCGCGACAGUUGCGCUGCCCCGGCCAUCAUCCCAUGCACGGAGCUCUUCUCACCGGUUUCGCAGGCAAGCCCGAUGCGCUGUUUAUCUUGCUCCGUACCGUCAGCGCGCACAUCAGCGUGCCUUCGGCAGAGCGCUGCGUCACGCUAGUGAUGCGCGACGAGGCCGCCAGCAUUGGUGAGAUGGUGGACGAGCUGUUGCUCAGCUUUCUGGAACCGCUCGACGCGUUGGGGACACCUGAGGAGAUGUGCGAAGCUGUGUGCGCUGCCGGCGAGGCUGCUCUGCUCUCCUCCCCGCUGUCCUACUCCUCCACCCAGUUUGUGUGCCUCGCUGUAUGGUACACCUGUCACCAACUGCGACGUGGUGUUUCCUUGAGUUCGCUGCGGCCUGCACUCCGCCGCACUGUUUCGCUUGUUGAGCGACUUCCAGGUUCCGCGGAGGCGUUGACGCUGCUGAGCGCUCAACUGCAAUGGUGCUGGGGUGCUUCAUUGGAGGCGCUGCGGGAGCAGGCGGUCCCCAUCUUGCUGCGCCGUGAGGAGUGGGAUGUCCUCGCUCGGCUGCUCGAGCGCUGCCCUCAGCCACUGUCGACGCAGGAGCAGCACAUCCUGCAGCGCUGCAAGAACGGCGCCAAAGUGACGGCGCUGCAGAACCUCGUUACGGUCCAUCGCGCGACAGCUGCAUGGGAGUACUGGCAGGGCGAGUUGUGCGGUGCAGCUCGAGAAGCGCCUCUGCCCACGUCCCUGUACGACAGCCUCGUCUCUCUCCUCUUGGCCCACGGACUCGUGACGGAGGCGCACGCGGUGCUGGAUGGCAGUGGUGCAUCGGAGGUCCGUGUGCCGCACACAACGUGGUCUCACACCGGGUUGCGCGUCUACGACUAUGCGAGACGGUGGCGCCGGCGCGAGCAGGGGAUGCAGCUGGCGGAGUUGUGGGGCGCGGCCGCACUAGCGGAAGAGGAGGCAGAUCGCGACGGCAGUGAGGUCCGGAAACGUGAGGCAACUGUAAUCCUUGCUCUCUACGCUGGUUUGGCCCUGGAACACACCCAUCGAGCAGCGGACGCAAGUCAAGUGAUUGCGGCCGCAGUCGACUAUGUUCUCCGAUACGACGAGGCGCAUCACCACCGUGGCACACAGCCCCCACUCGACUUUGCAACGCUGCACAGGACAGACGCUCAACUCGCGGCGCGCCUUCCUGAUUACGUACAAUGCGCCGCGCCGCGCCUCAUCUGUGCCGCACUCAACUGCAGUGGCGAGACAUCACGGAAGCCGGCAACUAAAGCCGCUUGCUCGAGCGUUGACAGCGGUGCUGUUUCAGAGGUGCUGCGCAGCGUGGCGUAUCUGCUCCCCCUCACCUCAACGAGUGGAGCGGCAGUGAUGGCGUGGUCAGAGACGGUGCUACGGCUCUACACGGUGGCCGGCGCCUGUGCCAUAGAUGCCAUGCCGGCAGUGGCGAAGUUGGCGCAAAAGCUGCUGUAUCAGGCGGCGGAGCAAAAGGUAGCGGUGGCGCCGUCGUUUCUACGCCUCGUGCUCGCUACAGGACCGCUCUCCACAACGCUGCUUGCAGCGGUGCGGCAGUGUCUCCUCCUGAGGCCUGGCAAUGCACCCACUGGACCGUAUAGCACAGAUGUUGCUGCUACUGCCGUGCAGGUGGCGGUUUCGCUCGCCGACUCUGGCAACCACUCUGCAGCCCUGGAGUGGGUAGAGGAGUUCGAGCUAUGGCAAAGGGGAGAGGCAGCGGGGAAGGAGGUCACAGAGCCUGUCUCGCAGACGGUGGUGGACAUGGCCACUCAGUUGUCGUGGCUGCAGGCCGCCCAGGCCGCCGCGCAGCGCCGCGCCGAUCAGCGUGCUGCCCUCUGUCAGCAUCGCCGCGCGGCGCAGGCUGGCGCCAGCAGGGGCAGCGUGGCGUUUGAGCUCUACUCACGGGAUGCUCUCGAUCGCCUCAUCGACUGUGAUGCGUGGGAGGAGGCGCUGGACGCUUUCCUGCACGUGUUGGCCGCCCCUAUUGACGUGAAAAGCCUCUUCUCGGAAGAGUCAAUGAAGCUGAUGGAGCUGCGCGACGCGUACCUCUCCGCGGAUGUGCUAAACUCCGUCAUGCUGUGCGUAGCCCGUUGUGCGCCGUGGCGAACCACGGUGCAGGCGUGGAUGCUGCUGACCAGUCAAGCCCCCCUUUUCCCUUGGAAUGCUUGCGCUGCCGCACUGACCCCAAGCAUACACGAGUUGCUGAGUGUGAUGGCGCGUCAAUGUGCGCUGCCUCACGAGGUCGGCACCGUUGUGGCUUGGAUGGUGGCGCAGCUGGACUUGCCUAGGUCUGCAACGUCCGCCCUUUGUUCUCGUUUCGCUGACUGCAUCGAUGCCUCAUCGUCUACCGGUGCCGGGCACGCGUGGACAGCGGCAGAGGCGCAACUAUGCGCCGAGAUCGUUGCACAGCUGCGACGAUUGUGUGGCGAGAAACGCGUGCGGGAAGCUGGACACGCUAUCGCGGAGGCGCAGGCAGCCCUUUUCCCGCCUUCCCUCCACACGCCAGCGCCCCACAGCGAGGAGGGUACAGUGCCUUCGGCAACAUCGUGGCUGCCGCCUGGUCGCCCCCCGCUGUCGGCGGAGGAGCUCGACACGCUGGCCGUUAUAGCCCCGCUGCUGCUCCUCGCCUCAACGCCGCAGCUGGAGUCUCUCGCACAGCAACAUCUGGGCGGCACGUUUAAGGCGCAUGAACUCAAAGCCCUCCUUCACCUCUACCGAGAAGAGCUCCUGCAGCGCGUCGCCACCGUGCGUGAGCCUGACGCGGCGCUCGUGCAAUACCUCGCGCAAAAUGCAACCCUACGCGUGCUUCUCUCUCAAUGCGCGGAAGUGAGGCCAGCAAAGCAUCCCACGUGGCGCACGCGCGACAAGGCUGCGGCGGAGUGGAUGGCGCAGCACAUCUUCGACGGCUUCUUGCCGUUGAGCACGGCAGAGGAGCUCUGGAAAGCGUGUGAAGAGCCUGCAAAGAAGCUGGCAGAGUGUCGGUGGUCCGCCGUGGCAGAGGCAGAGCUGUGCGGGGAGUUGUUGCGGCGUCACGGCAAGCCGCCGGAAAAGCUGAGCACCGCACCGCACUUGACGCGGCAGGCGAUCUCCCACUACUGGAGCUGCUUCCAUCGCGUUCUCCUGCCUGAGAUGCAUUUUGGCCCGCUGGAGCUGUGCUGCCUCGCCUCCUACGCUCCGGCCCUUGCCGAGGCGCGGGCGGCGUGCCCGGACAUGACGCAGCCGGCCUACGCCGAUGCCGUUGCCGAGCUCGCCAAUCACGCAUACAAGUCACACUUCUGCCCCAGUAGUGUACCUGUCGAGGACACCCUCAGCUACUUACGUCGCCCUCAUUGCGCAGCCGCAAUCGCAGCAGUCAUGACAAGCGCCUUCAAGAAACUCAAGGUGCUGCACGCGCAGCUCUCCGACGUCCGCAGCGCUGCGGCGCGCGGCUACCGGCUACCGUUUUCGUGGAAUACAGUCUCUGCCGCUGCUGUACAGCUGCCACCGGAGCUGAAUCGGCAGUGCCUCGCUGAUGCCGCCCGGUGCAUUCCCCAUGACGCGGUUCCUGUAACGAAAGUGGCUCCCGUUCACGCGUCCCACACAUGCAUUGCAUCGCCGCUGCUGCGCCGAUGGACGCAGUGGGCAACGGGGAUGGCGUGCGCCAGCUCGCCCAAGUCGUUACCACAGGCGGGCUCACUACUACUUGUGGAGUGGACGAAGGAAGCGCUUCAGUCGGCCUGCGAUCUCCCUCACGCAGAUCAAGUUCGCAGCGCCGCCCUUACAGCUGCCGGCGGUGGUGGCAAUAAAGUAUGUGCGUUGUGGCAGGAAGUGGCACGAGCAGGAAAGCGUGAACUGCGGCAACAGCGGUGCCGUGACCUUAGUGCGGUGUGGCAGCUUCUCGCCGGUGCGAAGGUGUGGCGCUUCAUGGACCCUGGGCACGUGAUGGUGCUGCGCCGGCUUGUGCUCCCCUCCAACUCCAAAGUUAGGGCGCUGCCUUCCAAGCGCGAUGCAGUCAUGCACCACCGAAAGACGUCGCAGCGAAAGGAAGAAAAGGGUUGUGUGUAACCGUGUUCUACCCAUGCACCUGUAUGCGUGUAUGAGAGAAGGGGGUGGGAAGCACACCGCGCAGGUGGAGGGGGGGGGGGGGGGCGUUUGUGCGCGUUGCCCGCUCCUUCUUUUUUCUCUUGAUUGUAAGGAGGGGCCCGGAUGACAUCGGGGCACCUCAGAGUGUGGUAUCGCAGAGUCUAGUGCCUACGACGUGCGGGAGGUCACCGCGACGUACCGCUGCCGAUGUCGGCGGUCAGGUCGUGGAUGGCGCUGCGUCGGAGCGACCUGCGACAGUGCGCACGCUUGCACCAUCCAUAUGAUAGGCGAAGUGCCGACGUGACUCGAGCGUAUCCCACCCGGCCCCCGCACUGCCUAGUGGUGUGGGUGGGCGAGUAGAGUUUGACGGCAGAGGCCGUGCUCCCAUGACCGAGUCGGUGCAUUGGCGUGAUGCGUGUCUAGCGCGGCUUCGCACCACCCGAUGGGGCCUUUGGCAGAGCCCGGGGGUCGAGGGGCGCUUGGCUCAUGUGGGACCGCAGAGAAGCGGGCACGUUGGCAAAAGAAAACGAUGAGGAAUGCAGAGUGGAGCAAGUGCUCUUAGGGCGACGUGCCCCACCCGCAGGACGUGCAUGCAGGCGUGCGAACGCGUUGACAUG
rnacentral:misc_RNA from 1 species